GAAAAACGUCAUUUGCAGAUUCGGCAUCCCCCACUCCAUUGUCUCUGAUAAUGGGCGGCAGUUCGACAACAGGAAGAUGCGAGACUUAUGCGACGAACUGGGCAUAAAGAAGGACUUCUCGACUCCGCAUCACCCUCAGGCAAAUGGACAGGUUGAAGCAGUGAACAAGACUAUCAAGCACACCCUGAAAAGGAAACUGGAUGCCUCGAAAGGCGCCUGGGUUGACGAACUCCCCCACGUCCUCUGGGCCAUCAGAACGACUUGCCGGACUGCAACCGGCGAGACCCCAUUUUCAAUGACCUACGGAGCCGAAGCAAUGAGUCCGGUCGAAGUUGGGGUCCCAUCACAUCGACGGAUACAUUUCAAUGAGAUCAGCAACGAUGAGGCGCGCAUAAGUGAACUACACCUCCUUAAGGAAAAGAGAGACGCUUCCCAGAUGACCUUGGCAAAAUAUCAUCGCAAGAUGACCCGCUUUUACAACUCCAAGGUCAGAAACAGAACUCUCCGCUUGGGCGACCUCGUCCUCAAAAGAGUUUUCCAAUCUUCAAAACCAACCGGGUCAGGAGUUUUUGGCCCGAACUGGGAAGGCCCUUACCGCAUUCGGGGGGAAUCCCGACCUGGUACCUUCGAGGUCGAAGAUAUGUCAGGAAGGAUGCUACCUCACAAGUGGAACAUCGAGCACUUGAGAAAAUACUACCAGUGAUAAGACUGUUCCGAUCUGAUCCUAAGUUGUCAUAGCUAAUCGGUUGUUCUGAUCUGACCUUGGUUGUAAAGUUUAUUAAGUGAUGGAAUCGCCUUUGUAAAGGGUGGUGUAAUUUAUCUUAGUAAUGAAUUUCCAGUUCCAAACCGGAUCAGCUAGGGAAUAGUUUCCUCAGUUCUUCGGAAGGUUCAUUUGAGCGAUCCGAUCGUCAAUUAUUAGCUGAUUAACAAGCGGUUCCUCGUGUUUCCCCAAUUGGUCUGACCUCAGAUUAUUAAGAAG
rnacentral:lncRNA from 1 species